UCCCCGUUGCCGGGGCAGUCUGAUUAGAAAAAUUCAACUAAUCACAAGGGUUGCGCUCGUUGAUGGACUUAACCAAACAUCUCACGACACGAGCUGACGACGGCCAUGCAACACCUGUCACUGCGGCCCGAAGGCACUCUCUCCUUUCGGAGAAAUUAGCAGGAUGUCAAGCCCUGGUAAGGUUCUUCGCUUAUCAUCGAAUUAAACAACACGCUCCACCGCUUGUGCGGGUCCCCGUCAAUUCCUUUAUGUUUUAGUCUUGCGACCGUACUCCACAGGCGGGAUGCUUAACGCGUUAGCUUCGCUACUACUCGGGUCGAUACGAAUAACAGCUAGCAUCCAUAGUUUACGGCGUGGACUAC
rnacentral:misc_RNA from 1 species